rnacentral:rRNA from 2 species
UCGAGAAUCUUGGGCAAUGCGCGAAAGCGUGACCCAGCAAUGCCGCGUGUGUGAUGAAGGUCUUCGGAUUGUAAAACACUGUCUCCCGUGACGAAAGAUGACGGUAGCGGGGAAGGAAGCCACGGCUAACUACGUGCCAGCAGCCGCGGUAAUACGUAGGUGGCGAGCGUUGUUCGGAUUUAUUGGGCGUAAAGGGUCUGUAGGAGGUUUGUUAAAUGCGGGGUGAAAUCCGGGAGCUCAACUCCCGAACUGCCCUGUAGACUGGUGAACUAGAGUACUGGAGAGGUAAGCGGAAUACCAAGUGUAGCGGUGGAAUGCGUAGAUAUUUGGUAGAACACCAAGAGCGAAGGCAGCUUGCUGGACAGAUACUGACUCUGAAAGACGAAAGCGUGGGUAGCAAACAGG